rnacentral:misc_RNA from 1 species
UCCGGUUUGUCACCGGCAGUCUCAUUAGAGUGCUCAACUGAAUGUAGCAACUAAUGACAAGGGUUGCGCUCGUUGCGGGACUUAACCCAACAUCUCACGACACGAGCUGACGACAGCCAUGCACCACCUGUGAUCCUGCCCCGAAGGGAAACCGUGUUUCCACGGCGGUCAGGAACAUGUCAAGCCCAGGUAAGGUUCUUCGCGUUGCGUCGAAUUAAACCACAUGCUCCGCUGCUUGUGCGGGCCCCCGUCAGUUCCUUUGAGUUUCAGCCUUGCGACCGUACUCCCCAGGCGGAGUGCUUAAUGUGUUGACUUCGGCACAGCAGGGGUCGAUACCCGCUACACCAAGCACUCAUCGUUUACGGCGUGGACUAC